rnacentral:rRNA from 1 species
GACAACUCUAGAGAUAGAGCUUUCCCCUUCGGGGGACAAAGUGACAGGUGGUGCAUGGUUGUCGUCAGCUCGUGUCGUGAGAUGUUGGGUUAAGUCCCGCAACGAGCGCAACCCUUAAGCUUAGUUGCCAUCAUUAAGUUGGGCACUCUAAGUUGACUGCCGGUGACAAACCGGAGGAAGGUGGGGAUGACGUCAAAUCAUCAUGCCCCUUAUGAUUUGGGCUACACACGUGCUACAAUGGACAAUACAAAGGGCAGCGAAACCGCGAGGUCAAGCAAAUCCCAUAAAGUUGUUCUCAGUUCGGAUUGUAGUCUGCAACUCGACUACAUGAAGCUGGAAUCGCUAGUAAUCGUAGAUCAGCAUGCUACGGUGAAUACGUUCCCGGGUCUUGUACACACCGCCCGUCACACCACGAGAGUUUGUAACACCCGAAGCCGGUGGAGUAACCUUUUAGGAGCUAGCCGUCGAAGGUGGGACAAAUGGUUGGGG